rnacentral:rRNA from 1 species
AUUGAACGCUGGCGGCAUGCCUUACACAUGCAAGUCGAACGGCAGCGGGGGAAAAGCUUGCUUUUCCUGCCGGCGAGUGGCGAACGGGUGAGUAAUACAUCGGAACGUGCCCUGUAGUGGGGGAUAACUAGUCGAAAGAUUAGCUAAUAUCGCAUACGACCUGAGGGUGAAAGUGGGGGACCGCAAGGCCUCAUGCUAUAGGAGCGGCCGAUGUCUGAUUAGCUAGUUGGUUGGGUAAAGGCCUACCAAGGCGACGAUCAGUAGCUGGUCUGAGAGGACGAUCAGCCCCACUGGGACUGAGACACGGCCCAGACUCCUACGGGAGGCAGCAGUGGGGAAUUUUGGACAAUGGGCGAAAGCCUGAUCCAGCAAUGCGGCGUGUGUGAAGAAGGCCUUCGGGUUGUAAAGCACUUUUGUCCGGAAAGAAAUGGCUCUGGUUAAUACCUGGGGUCGAUGACGGUACCGGAAGAAUAAGGACCGGCUAACUACGUGCCAGCAGCCGCGGUAA